rnacentral:snoRNA from 14 species
GGGGAGGAUGAAGAAAAAGUUCAAAGGCUGAAAGGUGAUGAGAGGGGACCUCGCUGAUG